rnacentral:rRNA from 1 species
CGCGUAGGCGGACUCUUAAGUCGGGGGUGAAAGCCCAGGGCUCAACCCUGGAAUUGCCUUCGAUACUGAGAGUCUUGAGUUCGGAAGAGGUUGGUGGAACUGCGAGUGUAGAGGUGAAAUUCGUAGAUAUUCGCAAGAACACCGGUGGCGAAGGCGGCCAACUGGUCCGAUACUGACGCUGAGGCGCGAAAGCGUGGGGAGCAAACA